UAUCUGGUUGUGCUAAGCAGUGGCCUAGGCCGUGGGGGUUCCCCCGCCGCGCCUUCAGGCGGGAGGGAGCCGCUGUCGGGAAGUCGAAGUGUCCGGUGUCUACCGGUGCCCGCGUCCAGGCGUCGGACGGGUGUCUGACAGAGGCAAAAAGUACUUGUAGAGAGUGCUCGUCUUCUUGCUGCUGCCAAGGGCUGGGAGGUGCCCUAAAGGAAAAUGCUGCAGAAGAAACAGUUAUAAUUGCAAAUGAAACCUAACAGCAUGUUACAAAGCUCAGAUCAUGCAGCAAAAGAGCCGGUGGAAGAUACGGAUCCAAGCACUCU